GAUGAAGAACGUAGUGAAAUGCGAUAAGUAAUGUGAAUUGCAGAAUUCAGUGAAUCAUCGAGUCUUUGAACGCACAUUGCGCCCCCUGGUAUUCCGGGGGGCAUGCCUGUCCGAGCGUCAUUGCUGCCCUCAAGCACGGCUUGUGUGUUGGGCCCCCGUCCCCGGUUUCCCCCGGGGACGGGCCCGAAAGGCAGCGGCGGCACCGCGUCCGGUCCUCGAGCGUAUGGGGCUUUGUCACCCGCUCUGUAGGCCCGGCCGGCGCCAGCCGACACCCAACUUUAUUUCUAAGGUUGACCUCGGAUCAGGUAGGGAUACCCGCUGAACUUAAGAAUAUCAAUAAGCGGAGGA
rnacentral:misc_RNA from 1 species